GGUGCAAGCCGACCUGUCGCUGUCCCGUCCCUGUAACUAUCGGGAUGAGAGAGAGGAAAGUCCGGGCAACAUAGAGUACCAUACUUCCUAACGGGAAGGAGUCAGACUGGUGACGGACUGAUUACAGAAAGUGCCACAGAAAAUAUACCGCCCUGAUCCCGAUAGCUAUCGGGACGGGGUAAGGGUGAAAUGGUGGGGUAAGAGCCCACCGCCCUGAUGGUGACAUCAGGGGCAGGGUAAACCUUAUGGGUUGAAAGACCAAAUAGGUUCCGCACCGGAUUAAAUUCCGGAAAAGGCGGCUCGUCUUUCUGCGGAAUGGGUAGGUCGAUGGACCCCGGUUGUGAAGCCGGGGCUAGAUAAAUGACAGGUAAUUCAUUCAUUUGGAAUGAAGAACAGAACCCGGCUUAUAGGCUUGCACCUUUU
rnacentral:RNase_P_RNA from 1 species